rnacentral:lncRNA from 1 species
AGCAGAUACACUCCAACAUCAUUGGUAUCUUAUUACAAAGAAGGCAACAAAAUGCAGGAAUUAGUGAGCUGGGGUGAUGCUGGUGUCUAAUGGGGCAAGUCAAAGUGGGUCAAGCUGGAUGCCACUGUCACCUACUGAGCCAGCCACUCCCCAGCACCCUAUUAACCCUGACCACUGGACCAAUCACUGCCUCUGGCAGAAGGAUAUGGACCCUAUCCCUGAGGAAGCCACUAUGGAGGAAGGGACAGGGGAGUGCACAGAUGGAAAAUCAAGGCAGGAGCACGAGGGUAACUCGCCCAAGGUGAGAAGACAAGAGACAACUGGCACACACCUGGCACUCACCUGGUCCCCAGCCACGCUUCAUGCUCAGAAGCCGCCUGUAUGGAGAACUGACAUUGUCACAUUCCAGCCGGGAAAACGUCACCCAAACCAUGCCCCGCCUCUUCUGCCUUUCUUCUCCCUCAAGCUCCCAAGGACAGACCUGUGUUUGCCCACCCAGGAAGCCUCCCACCUGCAGCUGAACACUUGGCUCACUCUGUUGCUGUGCUCACCUGCAGGGGCAGAUGGACCCGUCCCAGGUUUCAUUCAGAUGUCAAGACAAGCCUGGUGCCCUGGCACAUGCCUAUCAUCCUAGCACUUGGGAGGCUGAGGCAGGAGGAUCACUGUGAGUUCAAG